GUAUACAGCCAUGUCACCCUGCAGCCCAAGACUGGUUACUCACUGAAGCUAAGCAGGGCUGAGCCUGGUCAGUACCUGGAUGGGAGACCACUAGGGAACACUAGGUUGCUGUUGGAA
rnacentral:rRNA from 1 species